UACGUAGGUGACAAGCGUUGUCCGGAUUUACUGGGCGUAAAGAGCGCGCAGGCGGUCGAUCAAGUCGAGUGUGAAAGCCCCCGGCUCAACUGGGGAGGGUCAUUCGAUACUGAUCGACUCGAAGGCAGGAGAGGGUAGUGGAAUUCCCGGUGUAGUGGUGAAAUGCGUAGAUAUCGGGAGGAACACCAGUGGCGAAGGCGAACUACCUGGCCUGUUCUUGACGCUGAGGCGCGAAAGCUAGGGGA
rnacentral:rRNA from 1 species